rnacentral:rRNA from 1 species
GACAGAGGAUGCAAGCGUUAUCCGGAAUGAUUGGGCGUAAAGCGUCUGUAGGUGGCUUUUUAAGUCCGCCGUCAAAUCCCAGGGCUCAACCCUGGACAGGCGGUGGAAACUACCAAGCUGGAGUACGGUAGGGGCAGAGGGAAUUUCCGGUGGAGCGGUGAAAUGCGUAGAGAUCGGAAGGAACGCCCGUGGCGAAAGCGAGUGCCUGGACCCUUACUGACGCUGAGACGCGAAAGCCAGGGGAGCGAACGGG